UGAGGAAUAUUGGUCAAUGGGCGCAAGCCUGAACCAGCCAUCCCGCGUGAAGGAAGAAUGCGCUACGCGUUGUAAACUUCUUUUCCAGGGGGAGAAUUUUCCUGUUGAGACAGGGAUUGACGGUACCCUGGGAAUAGGCAUCGGCUAACUCCGUGCCAGCAGCCGCGGUAAUACGGAGGAUGCGAGCGUUAUCCGGAUUUAUUGGGUUUAAAGGGUGCGUAGGCGGAUUGAUAAGUCAGUGGUGAAAUUCUGCAGCUUAACUGUAGACUUGCCGUUGAUACUGUUAGUCUUGAGUGUGGUCAAGGCGGGCGGAAUGUGUAAUGUAGCGGUGAAAUGCUUAGAUAUUACACAGAACACCGAUUGCGAAGGCAGCUUGCUGGGUCAUUACUGACGCUGAUGCACGAAAGCGUGGGGAUCAAACAG
rnacentral:rRNA from 1 species